rnacentral:rRNA from 1 species
CUACAACGGAGAGUUUGAUCCUGGCUCAGGAUGAACGCUGGCGGCGUGCUUAACACAUGCAAGUCGAACGAACCUUCGGGUUAGUGGCGGACGGG